GGAUAACAGAGCUCUCCGAAAACGUGGAAACACUUUUGCAAAUAUGUGAUAUUUGGAUAAAUUAAGUAGAUAUUUGAGCAUUACACAGCUACAUUGUCGCCUGAAAAUAUCUUAAAAGGUUAUUUUGUGACCCAGAAAGGGUAGUCUGGGGAAAAGGAGGAUCGCAUUUGUCGGCCACGGUUGUCGGAGCCUGUGCGUACUUGUAAGCGCGGCAAUGGCGGAGGAGCGCCACUGAAAAACUUAUUACUUUUUCUGGGUCACAAAAUAAACUUUUAAGAUAUUUUCAGGCGAGAAUGUAGCUGUGUAAAUUUCAAAUAUCUGCUCGAUUUAUCAAGACAUCACAUAUUUGCAAAAAUGCUCCGACGUUUUCGGAGACGUCUAUUUUUUUUCAUGCUUUGUGGCAGCUUUUGAACAUGUGUGGCAUCUAUUAAUGUCAAAUCUAGCCUUUAUUUAACAACAUAAGCAAACUCUAUGUUACAAUGAUUGCACAGCCAUUAAGGAUCAAAUCAGUUUCUGAAAAAUGUUCUGUUUUUCUCCCCUCUGCUUGCUUCUUACUGUCUUUGAGGCCCAUCGGGACCAGCACUCCUGCUGUUGGACAGAAAGACAUCAACUUGAGAUAUGACUGCACUAUGCUGUUGCUGGUGACUCCAGUUAAUUCUACAAGACAUGCUGUGACACCAGGAGAGAUGAGUCCUCCAUCACAGAUGGUGUGGUCAGUGAAGAUGGUCGCCUGCAGGUUCAAGCUCAUUGCAUCUCCAACCCACAUCCACUGCCACUGUACUUAAGGGAAGUUAAAGACUUUCUUCUGCACCUACAUUUGGAUCACCUCG
ensembl:lncRNA